UCGGGUUGUAAAGCACUUUUGUCCGGAAAGAAAACUUCUGCCCUAAUACGGCGGGAGGAUGACGGUACCGGAAGAAUAAGCACCGGCUAACUACGUGCCAGCAGCGCGGUAAUCGUAGGGUGCGAGCGUUAAUCGGAAUUACUGGGCGUAAAGCGUGCGCAGGCGGUUCGUUAAGACAGAUGUGAAAUCCCCGGGCUUAACCUGGGAACUGCAUUUGUGACUGGCGAGCUAGAGUAUGGCAGAGGGGGGUAGAAUUCCACGUGUAGCAGUGAAAUGCGUAGAGAUGUGGAGGAAUACCGAUGGCGAAGGCAGCCCCCUGGGCCAAUACUGACGCUCAUGCACGAAAGCGUGGGGAGCAAACAGGAUUAGAUACCCUGGUAGUCCACGCCCUAAACGAUGUCAACUAGUUGUUGGGUCUUCAUUGACUUAGUAACGUAGCUAACGCGUGAAGUUGACCGCCUGGGGAGUACUGUCGCAAGAUUAAAACUCAAAGGAAUUGACGGGGACCCGCACAAGCGGUGGAUGAUGUGGAUUAAUUCGAUGCAACGCGAAAAACCUUACCUACCCUUGACAUGGUCGGAACCCUGCUG
rnacentral:rRNA from 1 species